UACGUAGGUGACCAGCGUUGUCCGGAUUUACUGGGCGUAAAGAGCGCGCAGGCGGUCGUUCAAGUCGAGUGUGAAAGCCCCCCGGCUCAACUGGGGAGGGGUCAUUCGAUGACUGAUCGACUCGAAGGCAGGAGAGGGAAGCGGAAUUCCCGGUGUAGUGGUGAAAUGCGUAGAUAUCGGGAGGAACACCAGUGGCGAAG
rnacentral:rRNA from 1 species